rnacentral:lncRNA from 1 species
UUUUUUUUUUUUGCAAAAGAUAGAUCUCUCCAACUAUUUAAAUGUGUCAAUUUUGUCUGUUUCCUUCCUUUGGCCAGGAGGAAGGGAAAAAUAAAUCUUUGGUUCACAAAAUAAGAGGUUUCCUUUUUUUCCUAAAGGAAAUGCACAGCAAUGAGAGAGAAAGCUUCUGGGGAAUAAGGAUAAAGAGAUUGUAACUAUCCUGUUUUCUUCCUUCUCAGCAGCCUCAACUCGCCCAUAAAUGAGUUAAGAGGGAAGGGAAAAAAAAAGAAAAUACAAUGACGUCUGGUCCCCUGACCCCUUGGCAGCAAAAAAUAGAUUUAAAUCUGGAAUAAUUUAAUACAUCUCUAUAAUCUAAUAUAUAUUUGUGUCCUGUUCAAAAAGAGUCUUUGCUGUGGGUAAGGGAAAAAUUUACCUCAGGAUCUCAGCAUUCAGAAGGGUGAAAAGGGGGACCAAGUUGCAAUAGAGGCUUUUUCCCCCCGUGCUGUUGGGUUUAACCUAUUAUAUUUAGCAAUAAUAUACACUGUGUGUGUAUGCGCGUGUGUGUGGUUGUUUAAAGGGGCAAGAUCUUAUCUCAGGAAAUUAGUAUUCUAUGUGUGUUGGGUGGGGAGUCAGUUGUGCAGGAGAGGGGUGGAUUCUUGAUGCUGCUCCUUUUGGGCUGGGUUUCUGAGCUCGCCAGACUCGCUUCUUAUUUAUGAUCCAGUAUUUGCGUGUCCUUCAUACGAGUCCUGGCUGUCCGAUGAGGAAGAUUUUCAUCUCAGAAAUCAGCAUUCACAGUUCGGGAAAGGGAAGGGAGGGGACAGCGAGUUGUGCAGGAGGAAGGGGAAGGAGAUUUUCUUGCUCUCACUGCUGCUGGGAGGGUGGGUUCUGGCGGGCUUCCUUCCCCCUCAUGUAAACCGGCCGGGCGCCGGGAGGGUCGCCGCGGGGGACGCUGCUGCCGGCGAUGGAAGGAGCAGGAGGGAGGCUCCGCGGGCGAGAGCGACGAGAGAACGGGGAGAGGGGGAGAGGCCGGCUGCCGCGACACCGGCUCCGGGGGAGUCGGGAGGCGCUCCGGUAGCCGCGAGCCCGGCGGCGACGGGUCCUCCGCGCGGAGCCUCCGCUGCUGCCGCCGCCUUGUUUUGCCUCUUUUUCUUUUUUUUCUCCUUUUUUCCUGUCUCCUUCCCCUCCCCCCACCCCCCCAGCGGCCGCCGCUUCCUGCCUCGGUGCCGCAGCCGGUGCCUCCCUCCUCCUCCUUCUUCUCCUCCUCCCCAC